rnacentral:rRNA from 1 species
UACGUAGGUGGCAAGCGUUGUCCGGAUUUACUGGGCGUAAAGAGCGCGCAGGCGGUCGUGCAAGUCGCGUGUGAAAGCCCCCGGCUCAACUGGGGAGGGUCACGCGAUACUGCUCGACUCGAAGGCAGGAGAGGGAAGUGGAAUUCCCGGUGUAGUGGUGAAAUGCGUAGAUAUCGGGAGGAACACCAGUGGCGAAGGCGACUUCCUGGCCUGUUCUUGACGCUGAGGCGCGGAAGCUAGGGUAGCAAACGGG